CUAUACAAGUUUAGUGAGAAGGAACAAAGCUAGAUAACGAACUAAUCACGUCAUGUAGUUCAAUCUAUACUGUGACCAGAAGCUAAGGAGGAAGAUUAAGAAAUAAUGACAAAUAAUCAUUAUGCAAGACAGACAAACUGAAAGUUGAAGAAGCAAUUUAAGGAUACUCCUAAGAAGCAUCCAGAACAGUCGACAUGUUUGCAGUAGAAAGAACUCUUUUGUUAUUAUGUUUAUAUCAUUUAAACGUCGCAAAAGAAAAUUAUAAACGGAGUUUUGGGACACAUUUUCUGGCGACAUAUCCAGGACUGCCUUACAGACAUAGUACCCAAUCGGGAUUUCCCAAAGUAAUAUUUUACGUCUUCAAGCACAGCGAUUCAAACGUGGUAAUUAUUUUAGAAUCUCUUAGGAUGCAAAACGUGUCUCAGUUACGUCAUGUAUUCACUCUAGCCAAACCUGCAGACGUAGACUCUUUUAGUUUGCCUGACC
rnacentral:sRNA from 1 species